rnacentral:lncRNA from 1 species
AGCACAGGAAGUUGGUGGGCAGAACCUUCAGUCAGACAGGUUGUGAGGGGGAGAACUGUGGCUGGAGGACAGGAAGCAGGUGUUCAGAAAUAGCUCUUUCUGCCCAAGGCUCUGCGCAAGGCCCGUCCACGUGAAGGGAAGGAGGGUCAGGUUGGCCGGGGCUCUUUCGGGUCUUGCAGGCGCUUUCCCCACGUUCUCGCCCUCCGCGCUAGGCGGAAGGUGAGGGAUGGGCCUGGCAGCCUGGCUGCGCCUGGUCGGCAUGCUGUGGCAGGUAGCAGCUGCCGUGGAAGGUAGGCCGGUCCUUGCCUCUGAGGCCGCAGCGCCCCGCGCCGCGCGCCAGGAGCUCUCGGGUCUCCAUGGUGCUUUCUCUCUCCCUCUCUCUGUGUGUUUCUUUAGUGACGCCCUGGAGGAGAAUCCGCGUCUGCGGCCGCGACGGCGGCCGCCGGCAGGGAUUCACCGAGCAAAGGUCGCCUUGGCUUCCGGAGGCCAGAGGAGCCCCGGCCUUCUCCUGGGGGGCCGGCGGGGGACCUCGCCUCCAAGCGGAAGAUGGCGUUUGGUUAGGUCAGGAACCAUUGGGCCCCUCCCUUCCAUGGACAUCCUGCAAGUGUUGUGA